rnacentral:rRNA from 1 species
GGCGUAGGGUGCGAGCGUUGUCCGGAUUUGAUUGGCGUAAAGAGCUCGUAGGCGGCUCGUCGCGUCGACCGUGAAAACCCGCGGCUUAACUGCGGGCUUGCGGUUGAUACGGGCGGGCUAGAGUUCGGUAGGGGAGACUGGAAUUCCUGGUGUAGCAGUGAAAUGCGCAGAUAUCAGGAGGAACACCGGUGGCGAAGGCGGGUCUCUGGGCCGAUACUGACGCUGAGGAGCGAAAGCGUGGGGAGCGAACAGG